rnacentral:rRNA from 1 species
UACGUAGGGUGCAAGCGUUGUCCGGAAUUAUUGGGCGUAAAGAGCUCGUAGGCGGUCUGUCGCGUCUGCUGUGAAAACUCGGGGCUUAACCCCGGGCCUGCAGCGGGUACGGGCAGACUAGAGUGCGGUAGGGGAGACUGGAAUUCCUGGUGUAGCGGUGAAAUGCGCAGAUAUCAGGAGGAACACCGGUGGCGAAGGCGGGUCUCUGGGCCGUAACUGACGCUGAGGAGCGAAAGCAUGGGGGAGCGAACAGG